rnacentral:tRNA from 1 species
GCGCCAAUAGCUCAACUGGAUAGAGUGCCUGGCUUCGAACCAGGAGGUUAUGGGUUCAAGUCCUAUUUGGCGCACCA